GAAAGCUGUAUGCUUUGAAAAAAGCUUGUACAGUUUGGGAAGAGAUUUUAAUAUAAAAAAUUUAAAAUCUACUUCAAC
rnacentral:ncRNA from 1 species